UAGGGAAUCUUCGGCAAUGGGGGCAACCCUGACCGAGCAACGCCGCGUGAGUGAAGAAGGUUUUCGGAUCGUAAAGCUCUGUUGUAAGAGAAGAACGAGUGUGAGAGUGGAAAGUUCACACUGUGACGGUAACUUACCAGAAAGGGACGGCUAACUACGUGUCAGCAGCCGCGGUAAUACGUAGGUCCCGAGCGUUAUCCGGAUUUAUUGGGCGUAAAGCGAGCGCAGGCGGUUAGAUAAGUCUGAAGUUAAAGGCUGUGGCUUAACCAUAGUACGCUUUGGAAACUGUUUAACUUGAGUGCAGAAGGGGAGAGUGGAAUUCCAUGUGUAGCGGUGAAAUGCGUAGAUAUAUGGAGGAACACCGGUGGCGAAAGCGGCUCUCUGGUCUGUAACUGACGCUGAGGCUCGAAAGCGUGGGGAGCAAACAGGAUUAGAUACCCUGGUAGUCCACGCCGUAAACGAUGAGUGCUAGGUGUUGGAUCCUUUCCGGGAUUCAGUGCCGCAGCUAACGCAUUAGGCACUCCGCCUGGGGAGUACGACCGCAAGGUUG
rnacentral:rRNA from 1 species